rnacentral:rRNA from 1 species
GAGACUGCCAGGGAUAACCUGGAGGAAGGUGGGGAUGACGUCAAAUCAUCAUGCCCCUUAUGCUUAGGGCUACACACGUGCUACAAUGGGUAGUACAGCGGGUUGCCAAGCCGUAAGGUGGAGCUAAUCCCUUAAAGCUACUCUCAGUUCGGAUUGUAGGCUGAAACUCGCCUACAUGAAGCUGGAGUUACUAGUAAUCGCAGAUCAGAAUGCUGCGGUGAAUGCGUUCCCGGGUCUUGUACACACCGCCCGUCACACCACGGGAGUUGGAGACGCCCGAAGCCGAUUAUCUAACCUUUUGGAAGAAG